rnacentral:rRNA from 1 species
GUCGAACGCUGGCGGCGUGCCUAAUACAUGCAAGUAGAACGCAGUUGCGAACGGGUGAGUAACACGUCGGUAACUUCCUGGUAGCGGGGGAUAACUAUUGGAAACCAUAGCUAAUACCCCAUACUUCCAGCCGGACCUGCGUUGUAUUAGCUAGUUGGUGGGGUAACGGCUCACCAAGGCAACGAUACAUAGCCGAGCUGAGAGGGUGAUCGGCCACACUGGGACUGAGACACGGCCCAGACUCCUACGGGAGGCAGCAGUAGGGAAGCUUCGGCAAUGGACGGAAGUCUGACCGAGCAACGCCGCGUGAGUGAAGAAGGUUUUCGGAGUGUAAAGCACUGUUGGAAGAGAAGCGGUAUCUUACCAGAAAGGGACGGCUAACUACGGGCCAGCAGCCGCGGUAAUAC